rnacentral:lncRNA from 1 species
AGGGACUGCCCUGCCCUGACCCUUGCCUGGCUCUCCAGAGCCAAGGCGUUCACAGCUUGAGUUGGUUUGGCCUAAGACUCUUGAGAACAUUACAGAUUAAAUUUCAAGUGUUUCGUUUCCUAGCAAAGAGUCUUUAGCAACAUAAAAACGAGCAUGUGUUAUUUGCAAACCAUCUGAACCAUUACUCAACCUGAAUGUUCCUAAGUUUUUGCAAGAUUGCAUAGGAAUCCCUAAUGGCAGAGAACAGAUAGUGCCUCCCCUGCUCCGCUGAUGUGUGAAAGAACGCCUGCAAACCCCUGGAGUGGGCAGCGAACAAUCUGUCCGUGUCAGCCAGCUGUCCUGAGGAGUCCUGAGCUACACAGCGGCCAGAGUGGUGCUCGCACCUGUCCUGGAAGGGGGAGCUUUCCUUGUGCCCCCUUUUAGUGUCAUUACCAUGUCUUCUCCCAUGAUUUCAGUUCUACCUGAUAAGGCCAGACAGUUCCUCAGCGUAUGAUCGGUAACCUAUGGUUAACGAUGGAAUUCUCUGACUGCACUCUCUUAGCCUGUGUAAAUGCAUGCAUUUCUUUGGGAAAAUGAUAAAAUAUAUGAAAAAAUAACCACAGGCUGAAAUGUCCUGUCAAAAAGAUAUCUAAAGUACAUGCAAAGUGUUUGCCAAUUAAGUACAUGUGAGUAACAUUUUUCCAAAUUAUAAUACUCAACAUCUUAAAAGGUAUAUGUAAUCCAAACCAGAUCAUUUUUUCUUUUGCUCUAAGGCUACUCUCCAUCUGACAUAAAGAGGAGAUGGAGAUCUACCCCUAUGUCUCUCAGGCCAGUUGAACCUCUGAUACAGUUUCUGCUUCUUCUUCUUACCUAUCAUGCCAUUUGACUCAAGAAAGCACACAGACUGCAUUCUAACUCGGCCUUUCAAAGUCCAGAUAAUCUAAACAUUGUUCAUUAAGUACUUUCCUGACAACAGUAGCAAAAAGAUAAAUUGAUUUAUAAUAAUUCCAGAAGCCUGAAGACAAUACUUAAACCUUCAUCUUGUGUGCAAUUUUGUUAGUUCCUAUUGUUUUUAUUAAUCACCCUGUAAUCUACUAUGUAACCUCUGACCUAUAGUAAAUGCUUAAUAGCUAUCUUAUUAAUAAAUUUCAGCAUUUACUCUCCAAAUAACAAAAA